ACACGAGCAGAUCAGAUCUACGGCUUCUGUGAAGAAAGAAGGGGGAGAUGUCAGGUCUUCAGGCUGCCAGGUUCUUUUGACAAUCUUGUGGAGCUCCAUAUGAGGGUAGCGUCCACACAGCAUCCUGAACAACAGUUUGCCUAAAGAGUACACGAUUGCAGGCUUGGCGUGGAACCUUCCCUUCUGAUAGAACUCCGGGGGAAUACAAGCCCUUGAGCCUGGAAGAAAGAGAAAGAUUUAAAAAUUUUCCUGGACACUCUUUUGUUUUCAGUAUUGACCAUAUGAUUUGAGAAUUCAUCUUGUCACACCAAGGACAACAACGCAACUAUUACAGAAG
ensembl:processed_transcript